rnacentral:lncRNA from 1 species
GCUGGGUAUGAACAACGUGGCCCCCACCACCCUGGAGGGAGCCCAGAGCCCAAUAGGCAGGCCUUUGGUGUGGCCCUGCAGGCCCACAGCGACACCAUGUGGCGGCGAGAAGAAACUGCAGCAGAGUCGGCACAGGACCCCAGCUUCCAUCCUCACGUUGUGUGGACAUGGUCCAGCUUCCUGCCGCGGACCAUGAGCAAUCCAAGGGUAGGGGAGCCUCAAGAGGGAGACACUGAGCCUUUACGUAAUGAGGCAGGGAGGGGUUCAAGCAAUUAAUUGAGAAAGGAUGUGACAGGACUGGCACCUGGUCACUUUGUGGCCGUGAGCACCAGCUCCGCCUAUCCCCUCUGCAGGGCAGAAGGGACAGUGCUGCGGGAGGCGGAGGUGCUGUGGCUCUGGGAAGGCUGAAAAGGGACGGCUGCAAAGGAGAAGAGCUUCGAGUCCUUUCCAUCAGGAGAAAAACCCGGUCAGCUGUGGAGGAGCACUGCACAGGAGUCAGAAAGUGGAGUCUGGGCGUGACCUUGCACCUGACCAGCCUGGGGCUCUAGGUCCGCCACAUCUGGACUAAUCUCCUGUGUCCUGAGCUCCCAGGACCCCAGAGGCAAGCAUGGAGGGGCCACGCUGGCAGGUAAAGUUGAACCCACAGUGGCUUAGGACGAGCUCCUGCACAGCGGCCUGUUUCCCAAUUGCAUCGUGUAUCUCUUUGCCUCUCUUGGCUCAGCCAUGGCCCCAGCCCCAGGCCAUCCAAGGGGCAGCCUGGUGAGGUUUCUUCAACUUUGCUAAUGACUUGACCUACAGUCUUAAGUCAAGAAGGUGUCGCUCUCCUUUGUGAUGGCUGGACGCACAGGAGCUGUGGUCAGGAUGGGGCUAGAGGAGCUGAAAUCCCAGGGCAACAAGGGUAUUUAAAAACACAUCGCAGGAGAAACAGCUAAAGAGUCUUGGAACCAGGAAUCAUAAGCUGUUUGAUGGGAUGAACUAUCUUGGGAGUGAUGAGGUCCCCAUCACUGAAAGUAUUCAAGCAGAGAGAGUCAUGGAAUUAGGAGACGGAAGAGCAUCAGACACUGAAUGAAGUCUGCACUACAUGAGAUGAAGAACCCUUCCAGCCCUGAGGCCGAGCAGCCACUUCUCUGGAGCAGGCUGGCCCAUCUAUGUCCAGGAGGCCAGCCCCAGGCUAGCUUCUGAGCACGGGGAGCUAAGUCCUUCGCCUUCCAGAGACUGCACAAAGUGUGUGCCACCUCCACAGAACCCUCCUCAUCCACCCGAGAACUCUUCCUCACCUGACCUAAAGCUCUUCAUUUCAUACCACCUUUCAAGCGAAUUAAGGAUUAAUUGCCAGCAGCAAUCUCUGUCUUUGUUUGUUUUCUCUAAUGGAAAACCUUUCUCUCGGGAGGGUAAGGUUAUCAGUCAUUCACAGCUCAGUUGUGCUGUGUUUGAUUAGACUGGACGGCAAAGCUGAGUCCUGUUUCGGCUCUGUGCGAUCCUGGGCCCCUUGGAGCCUGUUUUCUCAUCUAUGAAAUGGGAGUAAUAAUAGUGCUUAUUGCACAGUUGUUUUAAGAACUAAAAAUUUAAAUUGCCUAGAAUGUUAUACAAACAUAAGCUGCCAUAUUUUGGAAAAAUGAGCCAAGAUCAGUGGUGCCAAGGGAAGAAUGGGCAGAGGUGAGCUGUGGGCAGCCGUGGAGGAUGGUCCACGGUGUGGCUGCCAGAGGGCAUCGGGGGCCAGGCAACUCCAGAAAGGAGCUAGGAAUGUUAGAGAAAACUGCACUAACAGCCAGCAUGCGUGAAGAACUGAUUCAUACUACACCGUGGAUGAACCUCAAGAACAUUAUUCUCGGCAAAAGCAGACAGACACAAAAGGUCACAUAGCAAAUGCUUCCGUUGAUAUGAAAUGUCCAGCACUGGCAAAUCCACAGAGACAGAAAGUAGAUUAGUAAUAGCCAGCGGCUGCAGACAGGGAAGGAGGGGAGUGAUGACUUAAUGGGUACAGGGAUUUUAUUUUGGGGUAAUGAAGAUAUUUUGGAAUGAGACAGAGCUGGUGGCUGCAUAGAGCACUAUGAAAGUGCUAAUUGCCAUUGAAUUAUUCACUUCAAAACAGUUAAUUUAACGCUAUGUGAAUUUCACCUCAAUAAAAAAGGUACAAAAUAAAAAGCCUGUUUUCCUGGACCCAUGCUCUGUGGAGUGGGCAACCAGCAGGUAGAGACAAGAAGGAAAAUGGGAUGUCAUGACCCCACUUGAAGGCAAGGUCACUAAGGCUCAGAGAGGACCAGUGUCUUGCUCAAGGUCACAGAGCACCUGUGUGACACAGCAGGACACAUGCCCAGGUCUGUCUGACUGUCAAGCCCACACCUUUCCUGUCACCACACUGUCCUUCUGGAACAUUCUUCCCCUGGGGAGAGCCAUGGCCCUUCCACCUGCCAGCUCUGAGGGGGUAUUGGCCUCUGUAAACAAAGUAAUAAAUAGCCCUGUGGGGCAGGCCGUGCAGCUAUUAGGGUGACCCUGAAACGUUCCCAGAAAAUGCCAGUAAGACCUUGGCCACCUAACCCGGAAUGGCUGAAGAGUUAAUUUUUUAUUUGUGAUAAGUGUGGCGGGCUCGGUGACAGCUCCUUGAGUGGUGUUUCCUGUGACUGGUCUGGCGUUCAAACAUUAACCUCUACCCCAGGGAGCUUAACCAUUAACCCUGCACCCUCAACGGAGAGCCCCAGCAGCCCCUCCCCCCACACAGGUGUCAGGAUAGAGUCUCGGUGCUGGGAGAGGCCCCCUGGACACCAGAUCUAGGCCUUGGCCAUUUCUCCUCUUAGUCUUUUAGGGGAUUUUUCCUCAGACAUCACACCCGCUCCACACUCCCAGAUGGAGCCCUUGGCCCUGGCUUCUGACCCCCUCAGUGGGGCAGAUCUGAAGACUUUUCCAGCAGGCAGAGUCCUUGGGCCUCUUUGGAGCUUUAAAACCAUGUUUUCAAAGUAACAGAUCCCCUUUCCUAAAUGCACACUGCAGAAGGUCACUAUGCAAAACAGAUCCCAGUGACAGCUGUUUGUGAUGGGUGGGGGGCCAGCUGAGCCACCCUUUCACCCACCUGCACGCUGGCCCUCCUUGGUUCAGCCGCCAGGGCCUGGCCAGACACCACAGCUCUUGCAAAGCCAGGGGAGCCCUUUUCUUAA